AUAUAAUACACUUGAUGGAUAUUCAGAUACAGUCUUAUGCUAAGUGUUUUAAAACCCUUUUAGUUACUCGGAAGCCUGUAACUGAAGAAGUAGCAAAAACAGCUCAGCAGAUGGAGGAAGAACAACUGAGAAGAGUUAAAGUUCCAGAAGUUCCAUCCAAAAAACCUGCAAAGAGGGUCAUUCAUGAGGAAGUUAUAGAACGAAAAGUCCCAGCUGAAGAGAGAUGGACAAUUUCAGAAGAAAAAGUGACUGUUUCAUAUCAUGAAGAAGAAUAUUCAUAUGGCUCAGGUAGUUACAAACAUAUAUUAUUAAUUUUUUUCUCUUACCACCGUGUCCUAUAUAAAAAAUGAA
rnacentral:lncRNA from 1 species